AUAAACCGAUAUACAAAGAUUAAUGGAGAACUUCAAACGUUGUAUAUGAUGCAACUUAUACUAAUAUCCAUUUCAGGAGUACAAAUUUCAGAAUUCUAGAAAAAAAUGACACUAACAUAAGCUUAAAAGAGAGUAAGAAUUGGGAAACUAAAUCGCAAGACUGGUAUCUCACUUUCAAUUGAGUAUUUGAAAGCAAAUCAAGCAAAGCUUGAGACUGUACUGGCUCCAGGUAGUUGUGAUGGAGCCAGGAUUAUCACUGAGGAGGCGGAAAAAUAUUGAAAGGGUGAAAUAUAUAAAUACUUAUGUGUAUAUUCAAAAAUUCAAAAUUCUUAUAUAGAUUGUUUUUUGUUGAAGAAACGAUCUUCAAUGGCAGAUUUUCCGAGCUCAAAGCAAACUUACAAAUCUAUAUAUCAACCAAUCAACCAAAUCUCCAACCCACAACCUCAAUCCACUUAUGGUUGCAUUCCCUUUUCUCAGGCACAAAGGGACAAUGAUAUGAUGGUAUUUGCAAGCCACAAAGGCCAAGAGAAGAUAAGAAGAUGCAAGAACUUGAAGAAGAUUGCAAGAGGUAGCCAAAGUCUCUCUUCUCAC
rnacentral:lncRNA from 1 species